rnacentral:lncRNA from 1 species
GGUCUAGUGGUUAGGAUUCGGCGCUCUCACCGCCGCGGCCCGGGUUCGAUUCCCGGUCAGGGAAAGAGUAACAUCUUCUUUUACUGCUUUCUCUCAGGAUCUUUUAAAUAAACGUUAUCUGCUAGUCAAUCUUCCCCAUCCCACUGAAAACUGAAAUACAGAAAAUGUAGAAAAACACAAAUAAAGAAAUCGCUCACCAUUCUAUCACCC